rnacentral:rRNA from 1 species
GAUGAACGCUGGCGGCGUGCCUAAUACAUGCAAGUCGAGCGAACGGACGAGAAGCUUGCUUCUCUGAUGUUAGCGGCGGACGGGUGAGUAACACGUGGAUAACCUACCUAUAAGACUGGGAUAACUUCGGGAAACCGGAGCUAAUACCGGAUGAUAUUUUGAACCGCAUGGUUCAAAAGUGAAAGACGGUCUUGCUGUCACUUAUAGAUGGAUCCGCGCUGCAUUAGCUAGUUGGUAAGGUAACGGCUUACCAAGGCAACGAUGCAUAGCCGACCUGAGAGGGUGAUCGGCCACACUGGAACUGAGACACGGUCCAGACUCCUACGGGAGGCAGCAGUAGGGAAUCUUCCGCAAUGGGCGAAAGCCUGACGGAGCAACGCCGCGUGAGUGAUGAAGGUCUUCGGAUCGUAAAACUCUGUUAUUAGGGAAGAACAUAUGUGUAAGUAACUGUGCACAUCUUGACGGUACCUAAUCAGAAAGCCACGGCUAACUACGUGCCAGCAGCCGCGGUAAUACGUAGGUGGCAAGCGUUAUCCGGAAUUAUUGGGCGUAAAGCGCGCGUAGGCGGUUUUUUAAGUCUGAUGUGAAAGCCCACGGCUCAACCGUGGAGGGUCAUUGGAAACUGGAAAACUUGAGUGCAGAAGAGGAAAGUGGAAUUCCAUGUGUAGCGGUGAAAUGCGCAGAGAUAUGGAGGAACACCAGUGGCGAAGGCGACUUUCUGGUCUGUAACUGACGCUGAUGUGCGAAAGCGUGGGGAUCAAACAGGAUUAGAUACCCUGGUAGUCCACGCCGUAAACGAUGAGUGCUAAGUGUUAGGGGGUUUCCGCCCCUUAGUGCUGCAGCUAACGCAUUAAGCACUCCGCCUGGGGAGUACGACCGCAAGGUUGAAACUCAAAGGAAUUGACGGGGACCCGCACAAGCGGUGGAGCAUGUGGUUUAAUUCGAAGCAACGCGAAGAACCUUACCAAAUCUUGACAUCCUUUGACAACUCUAGAGAUAGAGCCUUCCCCUUCGGGGGACAAAGUGACAGGUGGUGCAUGGUUGUCGUCAGCUCGUGUCGUGAGAUGUUGGGCUAAGUCCCGCAACGAGCGCAACCCUUAAGCUUAGUUGCCAUCAUUAAGUUGGGCACUCUAAGUUGACUGCCGGUGACAAACCGGAGGAAGGUGGGGAUGACGUCAAAUCAUCAUGCCCCUUAUGAUUUGGGCUACACACGUGCUACAAUGGACAAUACAAAGGGCAGCGAAACUGCGAGGUCAAGCAAAUCCCAUAAAGUUGUUCUCAGUUCGGAUUGUAGUCUGCAACUCGACUACAUGAAGCUGGAAUCGCUAGUAAUCGUAGAUCAGCAUGCUACGGUGAAUACGUUCCCGGGUCU